rnacentral:lncRNA from 1 species
UUUUUUAAAAAUCAUGUUUGAAUUUAAAUUAUUUGAAUUUUAAUUCUCUCUAAUGUUUAGAAGGCUUUAGUUUUCUACUAAAUGAGCCUGGAUAUUUGCUAUUUUUACCUUUCCUUUCAGAAAUGUUCUCUGAAUUACUGUUGUAAUCAAAUUGUGAUUUGUUGUUGGCAAAUUCCUUUUAUAGUAUGAGCUUCUUUCCAGUAAAUGAAAUGCAACUGGAGAAAAUUAAAGUAAUGUUGACAGUUUGCUCAGGUACCAAAUUAAAACUUAGUGGAAAACUAUGAAUGUUCUAGGCUAUGUAAUUUUUCUGGUAGAUGUAUGUAUAUAUAUGAGAACUGUAUAGCUAUUAUUGUAAACAAACAAAAACACCUAUUUAGACACCAAGACAUUUAAACAGUGAGAAUAUGAUCUUCCCUUUUAUUGUUUAAACGGGAAUUGUGUAGACAGAAUUUCAAGGGUGGCUUUAUACUGUUGGGUUAUUUUGUUUAUUUGUUUUUAAAUAUUGGACACACUAAAAGUUCCUUUUGGCGCAGUAAGUGUACUCUGGGUCUGCACAUAUUUACUAAUGUCUCCAUCUUGGCCAUUUGCACCUGUCACCUGGCUUUAGGUUGGGCAAAAAGAACUGGAAUAGUUCUUACUUUUUCUACCUUCUCAAAUCAACAAUGACUUUAUCCCCUUACCUCAUCGAUGGGGGAAGAAGAAUAGAGAUGAUUAAGAAGCAAAUAGAGAUAAGAAUGUGGAUAAAGCUGAUGGUGAAGGGAGUUUCUAAAUUUAUGAGUAUAAGGAAGGAAAAAGACUUUUCCCCAACUCCCCAGGAAAGCCAUCCUACCUAUCCGACACAGCACUGUCUUCUCCCUGUGCCUGUCUAAAGCAGAUCUACCUAAAUUCCUCCUCCACUCCAAGACAGAUUCCAAUGGUACCACCAAAAGAAGAUCAUAGAAGAGAAAGUCAUAACAUCUCACAUUUCUAAUGCAUUCACUGCCAGGUUUUCUUCAUACCUUUUGCCUUUUAAGCCUUGGGUUUGGAGUCGUGAGCAGGUUUUCAUAGUUGGUGGACAGAUUUGACUUGUUUUGAUAAGAAGCCUUCCCAACAAAGCAUUUCUAAGGCAUGCCGCAAAACAGCAUUGCGAGUUUAAUUAAAACGGAUGAAGUAUUGACUGAACAAGUUUGUGUGUGUGUGUUUCCUCUCUAAAAAUAAAAUAAAGUCAAAUACUUUUUAUGUAAAGCAAAACAGAAAACAACUCUAAACUUCUAUCAGUCUGAAUGAAUUCACAUUUCUUUUUACAAAAUAGCUUUUCUGAAACCAUUUUUGUACGGUGGUUAGACCAGCACAUUCUACUCUCUCCCCUGCCCACUUGCCGCUUUGCUUUUUAAAUGUUGAAUGAAUGUGAAUAGUUUGUUAGUUAAAAAAAAAAGCACAUGCUUGUAACAGGCUCAGAAUCUACCUAUGAACGUGAAGAUGUGCCAGGGGUUAUAUACCAUAGUUUCAAUCCUAUCAACUUAGGGUGGAAAUAUGUGAAUAAAAGUUUUAGAAACUUAUUAGAUUUCUAGUAUGUUGAGAGAAACUUUAUGGUGUGGUAAAAAAUAAAUAAAAGCCCUGCCUUGGAGAGCAGGAGGCAUUAAUUAAUGCAAAAAUAGAUUUAAAAUGGUUAAAUCUGGAGGCCCGGUUUCUAGUGCCAACUGACCAAAUUACUGAAUUAAUUAUAAUUUCUCUCUUCCUCAGUUUCCUUGCCUGUAAAAUGAAGGGAAAGAGAUCCUUUUCAGAUUUUCGUUUAUCUUAAAGAAUGUGUGAUUUUAUUUUAAAUAGCUGUAUAUGUAGAUAAUUCUGCUUGCGUUUUCUACCUAUAAAUCACAAAUGUUUGGAGAGAAAUUUAGGUUGGUAAAGAGGGAAGAAUAAAGGAAGUUCAGGUGAUCUGAGAGAGCACACGUAGUUUAAUUUUUUAGUGGUGGUUGUCCUCAGCUUAAGUAGAUGUCAUAAUAUAUUAUUGGGUCUAUUUAAUGAUUCAAUGAAUGCAAUAAACCAAAAAUUGUCAUUUGUCAGACAAAGUGACAUAAUUGCCUAUGCGUGGUUUGAGAAAAGGGCUGCUUUUAACUGAGUGGAGCACAACAUGGUUACUAUGGCUCCAUUCCUCCCUGCUGGCCACUAGAUGGAGAGGCGGUCCAUGUCCACAGCCUUGCCCAUGGUAAACAGCUCACUUCUGACUUUCUGUUAGCAAAGCUGCACUCUAUGAGUUUGGACAUUUCUAUGAACACACACAUGACAUUUUGCGGAAACUAUCAGAGAAUAUAUUCUCUUCUCUACAGGCAUGAAGAGAUAUUCGUGACUGCAGGAUGACCUGCUCCCUCUACGGCCACUGUUAAGGCUGGUAGACCAGCAGAAGGCCAGUAUUAACAACUCCAGUUUUAGUUGUCACGACAGAGCCUCUUGCCUCUCCAAUUUGCCCAUUUAGAAAGAGCCCUGAAAUGAAUGUCAGCACGACAGUGCCACCUUGUGUCCCUGUUGCUGUCAGAGUAACUGAUGCAUGAACCAGUGAAAAGGAAAGAAAGGACAUUUACAAAAAUUUGGCAAAUUGUUUCAAGCUCUGAUUUUGCGGUAGCUGCACAAAAUCUAUCUUUCAGUGUGUUUGGCAAUUCUUACCACCCAAGGACAGGUUAGGAUGUGUGUGCUUUACCCCUUCUGUCAUCCUAGUGUAUACUGAAAAUACUUUAGAAAGUCCGGGCGUGAACAAAGAUGUAUUCAAUUUAGAAUUGGGGAUGAAGAAGGAAGGGAUGGACGAACAAGGCAGCGAUGGUCAAAGAUAGUCACCUAAUUCUUUAUCAUCUGUAAAGCCUCAGGUCAGUCAUUGCAGACAGCUCCUUCCUGCUCAUUCUCAGAACAACUUUUAUACGCAUACCUUGGUAAUAUCUCUUUUCACAUUGUAUUUGCCAUUGUUUGUAAGCAUAUCUUCCAAGCUAACCAUGCGCUCCUUGAGGACAGUAUCUGUCUUAUUCGUCCUUCUGCCUCCAGAACUUUCUAUGGCAUUCAGCCCAGAGUCACUCACGUGUCUGAGGUCUGAAUGAAUGAUUAUGUCUGGCUGGUUUGUCACUUCUCAUUUGUUUUAUUUUUAUUUUUUUGAGUUUUAAAUAAUUUAGAACCUUUUCUCUUUGGAAAAACACCUUCUGAUACCAACUCCUUUCCAAACAUCCCUUUAUAAAUUUACUUUCUCUCACAUUAAAAUGCCUGUUUCUCCUUUUGAUUAUGAAAACAGUGUAUUGCCUAUUCAUGACUGUAUAUUGUAGUUGACUUUGGGGUAAAGAUACUUAAUUUCUGGUUUUAGCUUUAUAACAAAUUUGCUGUGUUAUCUUGAGUAAGAUACUUAACCUUUCUAGGUCAGUUUCCCAUACAUGAAAUGAGCAAGCUGGACUAGUUGAUCUUAAGGUACUUUUGACUCAGGGUUUUUGUAGGGAUUGGACACAUGUUAGCAUUACUCUAGUUGUGUAUUUGAUUUAACAGUUUUUUAAAAUACUAUGAUAGCUGAAAAUUAAAUUGCCAGUCUUUGAAAGUAUCAUUUGAUAUCCCAUGUUUUAGAAGAGGAAACUGAGGCACAGGGACUUUUCUUAUAGAGGACCGAACUGUAAAUGGGCAAGGUGAAUAGUCUGAUAACGGAUGGGCAUUCCAAUUUUUUGUUUGUUUUUAAUUUUUUUGUUUGAUUUUGGUUAAUUGAUCUCCAUUUUCCUUCUAUCCUUUAACCAUAAGGUAAAUGGACUACAAUAAAUUUAAAUAACAAGAUGAACCCAUGCUUUGGUAUAGGACUAUCGACUGCUUGCAAUUUAGAGACUCUUUCAUGCUAUUUUGGCUUUUUUUAAAUGACAGUUAAAAAUGAGCGCUGUUUUAAAUUUCAGAAUUUUUGUAUGGAAUUUACAUCUGGAGUUUUCAGUCCACAUAUUACCGUAAACACAAGAAAAUUGUAUGAUUUUGGGCAAGUUGCUUAAGCAUUUUAAGCUCGGUUAUUUUAUUUGCAGAAAGGUGAUAAUUAGUAAAUGUUACCUUUUCUACCUCACAAGGUUAUUAUGAGGAUUGAAUUAAUGUAUAUGGAAUUUCUUUAUAAAGAGUAAAGCACUAUACCAAUAUUAAUAAUAUUUAACGUUGUUACUCUUCUAAUGGAUAAUAGAAACCUAAGUCAAAGCAAAGUAGACAAAUUUAAAAAACACUGAAACUCAUGGCAUUUCUUGUUGGAGUGCUUCUUGGUGGUUGUAAGCUCUCUGGAGAUGACUUGAUAUGUUUGCCCAAUUUCAUAUGUUUUGGUUCAAAAACCUGUGUUAAUAAUAAUAAUGAUGUUUAUGAGCCUAAAAUUAGUGUUUUAUUUAGAUAAAAUUUUUUACCUACCAUUCAUAAGUUCAUUGUUGACAGUGAUAUUUAUUAAAAUAGAAGGUAAAAAAAUUUAGAAUAACCAAAUAUGAUGAAAAAUGUUUACAUACUUUUUCUUUACUUCUUCUUCUUCUUUACUUUUGGUGAGGAAAAUUGGCCCUGAGCUAACAUCUGUUGCCAGUCUUCGUUUUCUUUUUUUGUUUUUCUCCUCAAAGCCCCAAUACAUAGUUGUAUAUCCCAGUUAUAAGUCUUUCUAGUUCUUCUACGUGGGGUGCCACCACAGCACAGUGUGAUGAGCAGUGUGUAGGUCCCUGCCCAGGAUCCGAACCAGUGAACCCUGGGCUGCCAAAGCAGAGUGUGCAACCUUAACCACUAUGCCACCAGGCCAGCCUCCUAUAUGCCUUUUUGAUAUUGUAGUAUUGGGCUCUAAUCCACUGGUUCUUAAACCUUGUGUACUUAAGAAUUACUUAGGAUGUUUACUACAAUUCAUAUUUCUGAGCUUCGUCCCUAACAAGUUUGGGGUGGGACUUAGGCAUCCUGGUUUGUAGGUGGUCCACAAAUGUUAGAAAAUGAACCUUUCCUAGGUUAUUGUACAUCAUAAUCACCUGGGGGAUUUUUAAAUGCACGGAUAUCUAGGUUCUACUUCCAGAUAUCCUAAGUUAGAAUCCUUAGACUGGUAUUCAGGCAUCUAUAUUUUAUAAAAACUACUUCAUAGAUUCUUUUUUUUUUUUUUGAGGAAGAUUAGCUCUGAGCUAACAUCUGCUGCCAAUCCUCCUCUUUUUUGCUGAGGAAGACUGGCCCUGAGCUAACAUCUGUGCCCAUCUUCCUCUGCUUUAUAUGUGAGACGCCUCCCACACCAUGGCUUGCCAAGCGAUGUGUAUGUCCGCACUCGGGGUCUGAACCAGCGAACCCUGGGCUGCUGAAGUGGAAUAUGUAAACUUUACCUCUGCACCACCAGGCUGGCCCCCAUAGAUUCUAAUAUUACCCCAAGAUUGGAGAAUCACUGCUCUUGUUGUCAGAGUAUGUUGUUAAAAUAUAUUUACUGAAUUCAUCCUCAUUGUUUGUAUUAUUCCUUAACUAAAUAUAAUCUCAUUUAUAAUAGAAGGACAAAGUGGAUACUGCUAUGUAAGAAAAGUUUAGGCGUGAAAAACAAUUAUCACUCUUGCCCUAUAACCCUAAAAUUAAGGAAGAGAAAAGUUACCAAGCACCUUUCACAUAAAUUGCUUAAUUUAAUCUUUACAACAACUCUGUUGUAUACCCUGGUUUUCUGAAUAUGUUACAGACAAAAAACUGAAGCUCAUAGAGUAAAUUGCCAAGUUCACACAGAUGUUAAACGUCAAAGCCAGGAUUCAGAGUCCCUACUCUUUCUACUAUAUCAUAUUAUUUUUUUCCCUUAAUUCAAGAAACCUUUACCGAGUUCCUAUUAUAUUAAGUGAUAAUGUCUAGCUUUGAGGGCAAAAAGUGUAUUAUACUGAUACGGUAUAAUAGUUAUUGCUUACAUCAUGUAAAAGAAAUAGAAAUUCUUUUUCUUAUGUUUCCAUUGAGAAACAAUUUUUAGCUAGAAGUAGAAUUUAAGUCUUCUGGAUGGUCAGAAAGGGUCUAAGUAGUAAUAAUAAUUGUAAUCAUUGGACUGUUGUCUAUGGGAUCUCUUUUAACCCCCAUGCCUUUGCUAUGAGGCAUUUUUUAACUCAGUUUACAAAUAAGCCAGAUUUGGGAUGGUUAAGUGACUUACCCAAGGUUGCAGAGCAAGUAAGUGGCAGAACCAGAUUGAACUCUGGUUCAAUCUACUUUAACAGCAAAGUUAGUGUUCUUAACCACCCAUAUAUGCAGUUUCUAACUCUGCUUUACAGUUAACCUGCAGAAUCAGGCUGUUCCUCCAUUUGAUACGUACAAGCCACUAAGUGCUAAUUAAAUGUUGUGGUCCUUAAGUUCAUUUCCUUUGAAGGGAACUAACCAUUUUGCCACACUUAAUCAGUCCAGUAAUUUCUUUUUAAAGUCUUGUAAAGUUUGGUGUUAACGAUGUAUAAUACUUUAGGGAAAUCAGUAGGAGUGAACAAUCUUUUGUUUGUAUUUGUAUUUGAGAGUUGAAACUCUUUGAUGGGACAGAUUAUUUGAAUAAAAGUUUCAACCUUAUCUGUUAUAACAUGCCAUGAAACACAAAAAUUUCAUGGCAUAGCCAUUGUUAUUGGUCUUAAAAUAAUUGAUUUAAAAUCCAAUGAAAGUAUUAAUAGAAUCAAUGCAACAGGGCUUCAUAAAAUCUAAAGACUGAUUCCUGAGUGCUACUGAUGUUCUUGUUGGAAAAAAAAUGCUUCCUAGUAUAAAAGGACAGUCUAUGUACACAGUGUAGUGUGCAAACUAAUACAAUUUCUGGUUUAUCUAGGAUAUGAAUUGCUAAAGAUGUUGUGUUUAUACAUUUUUAUAGAUUUACUAGUAUUUUAAAUAGGGGUAUUAAUUUAAAGGAACUCUGACAUGUAUCUUUUAAGUGUGAAAAUAAUCAUGAUUUUUACAUUUUUUGAUGUGAAAAUAAUCAAAAUAAUCAUGAAAAUAAUCAUGAUUUUUACAUUUUUUGAUAUACAUGUAUUUUGGGAAUAUUAUUCAUUCCUCUAUAAUUAUGUAUUAAAAGAUACAUUUUUUAAAAGACCCACAAAGUCACUAACCAGGAGAUGUAGUGUUAUCCUUAGCAGACUUAAAGUUUAUUGGAAAUUUGGGAUCUAUUUUAACUUUCUUUUCUAAGGAAUGUCUUUUCCCAAGUGUCAUUCUUUUCAAUUCUAUCAAAUGAACGCUAACCAUGAAGAGGGAAGGGUGAAAAUAUAAAAUGAAGAAGUUUGCCUAUACUCCUUUUACAGAUGGAGAAAUUAAAACUUGAUUUUUUCGAAAGUCCCAUUUAGCAGCAGAGCACAGAUUGGAAAAUUUGGUCGGUGAUUUAUUUAGGCUCCGCAGGGAAAAUCCUGUAGGGUGUUUUCGAAUAUCCUAAAUUUAUUUUGAUUUGAGAGCUGCUUGAAGGGCAUGUCUAUCUUAAAACAGUUCUCCAUUUUCCUGAGAAAAAUUCCAGUGGAGCUAGUUGUGGGAGGUAGUCUCCCGACAAUGAACCUUUUGGGGCCAAAUAAGCACUUUAACACAACUUACUCCAUCCCUUUCCUUAAACCAAAGCCUGUCUUGCCCACUGGGCUUGUUUAGCUUUGACUGCUCAUUUUAUUUCUCUGCAGAGGCAAAGGAGACAGGAAAAAGGAGGGAAAAUAACUGAUGGCAUGUGGGUGAGGUUUUGGCUCAGGGAAUACGUUUUGAAAGAUCCUAACCAGUAUGGGGAUGGGGAAAGCAGUUGGUGUCUGAAACUCACCCCUGUUCUAGAGAUUGAGAAACAGAAACCAAGAGAGGUUAAAUAACUUGCCUGAAGUUACAUGGCACUUUCCAAUGUUGGGGUUGGUCCUGCGCACUAGGCAACUCAUUGCUUUACUAAAACAGCUGGAUAACCCAGCUUCUCUGUUGAUCAAGGUGCGCUUCUACCAUCCCUGCUCCUUUUGACUUCCCUCUUUAAUUUUUUUGAAUACUCUUUUUUAAAAUCUAAAAAAAUCAUUCUGCUUAUAAUUUCGAGUUUAGAAACUCAUUGAACAAAUAUCUUUUGACUAUUCAGGCCAUUUAGAACUAGCCAACCUGUGAGGACAGUGUGGGCCAUGUGAAGCCUUCUGCUUCCAUAUUGUUGGGAUUUUAUGUAAGUAAUGAACAUGGAACCAGAAAAGAAAAUGGCUUUAAAUAAAUUGAGUCUGAGCUCCAGGCAGAGCUCUAAACAUGAUAAAUGUGGUGGGCACCUAAUAAAAAAUAGACCUUUUUUUGAAGUCCUAAUUGCAGCUGAUCUUUGGAUUUUGAAAUUAAACAUCCGCUAAGGUUUGAUAAUUUUUCCUAAAUUGUUGUCAUUAUAUGGAUUUAGGGUGGAUAAGGGGACCAUGGUAGAAAUAUGAAUCAGUACUUUAAUCUUCCAUAAAGGGUUUAUAACUGCCCCAAACAUCCCCUCUGUUUGGACCCCAUGGGGAAAUUGCUUCUUGGCCCUAGUAUCACUCUGUCAAAGUUGUGAGUAUAUAUUGAAUUAAUUUCUCACUGAUAUAAUGAAUAUUUGCUUUAAAAAAAUAGUAAAACUUUUUUGAUGUUGAGGUGCCUGAUGAGUACUAUGGUUUACCUCUUAACGCCAUUAGUGCGGUUCUAGAUACCAAGCAAACUCAACUAGAAGAUAAGUUUUAUUUGGUUCCGAGGGACUAAUUAAAUGAAUAUACAGCAGAGCUUAGAAGUGAUGUCAUCAUAUCAGACAUGGUGCGAACAGGCCCCAGUGCACUAACAGAUCCUCUGCAUUUUUAUUAGGAAAUAUUUAAGAGUUUUGCAGAGCUCCAAAAUUCCAAUGAAAGUCAGGUAGAUGUCCUCAUAUUGACAUAUCUGCAGAUUUGGUUUCUAUUCUAAGAGCUGCAGUUUGAAUUAAUUGAGGUCAGAAGCAGCUACCCAUUUGUGUCCCAUCUACUUGCAAAUAGCAGCUUGUUUCCUUUUAGGGUCUGACGAGGUGGUGGUUGUUUUCUAUAUCUUAGUAAUAAAAUCAAUGGCGGCAGCACACAUAGGCUAAUUGUUAGAAUUGUAAGGCUUUGUUAGAAAUGGAAUAUAGGCUUUUGGUAAUACUCUUAAAUUCACACCAAUUGUCAGGAAAUUAAAUAUGGUUCUUUAAGAAAUAUAUCGCAGGAGGCUUAAACUAGAUGUGGUUAAAAAAAAAAACCCCAAAACCUCUUCACAGGCAUUUAGUUAUUUUCUACCUAAAAAAGUAAUUUUCCUUUUAUCUGUAUCUUUACUAAGCCUUUAAGAUGAAAGAGGAGAGUGACCGCCAUAGAAUGACAGUGACCUAAAAGUGUAAAAUUAGAGUUAGUGGAGUUUGUGUAAUCUUGAGGACAAAUAUAAUCCAAAAUAUUUAUCAGUGAACUCAAAGGGCAAAUGCUGCUUUCAGCAUACUGCAAAUAAAAUGCUUAAUUAAAAGUCCCUAAAAUAUAACAACUUGUUCUUAAGCGAUUACGUUGUGUCUGAAGAAAUUAAGACUGAAAAAAAAAGUUAAAAGAAAGAAAGAAGAAGCUGGUUGUGAUAAAUUUUUUCUUACAUUUAGGUACUUUUAAGAAUUGUUUUUAUUAAUUUCUAAAUUUGAGUGAGAGGGAGAUAGGCUUGGAUUAAUUGCCAUUUGAAUAGGCAGUUUCAGAUUUGUAGGCAUCUUCUGAACCAGGAUGGAAAGACCAUAGAAAAAAGUCUAGUGUGGAAAUGAUAUUUCAUGUGGUGAAACAGAAACUCAAGAAGUUUCCUGUGAUAAUAAGGUGAAAGUGGUUACCAAAGAAACAAAAGUUUCUUAUCACUCUGCCUGAGGCAAAUGUGGCAUAUUAAGCUUAAAAUGAAUUCUCCUCUCCUGAAUGCACACAACUCUUAUUAAUGUCUUGGAAAUUAUGCACACAUAGGAAAAGAGGAAUAAGAUUUUCUGGAUACAUUUGAGUAAGCAUCCAUUGGGAUAUGGGAGCUUUCUCAUGUCUAUGGCUAUUUUAGCACCGAAGUGACCAAAAAUCAAUUUUUGCUAUUUUACCUUUUACUCGGGUUUAACUUUGGACUGAAUGACUUGCUUUCAUCUUAAAAGGGGCCUUUCUUUCCGUGAGAGUUAGGUUCCCUGGUGGCCUGAAAGAGUUAAUGCAGUUUCCAAGAGUGUCCAACUUACUUCCAGGGAGUAGUGCCUGCAUGUGAGAGUCUGGCUCCAGGAUAUUUGUUCACAUCCCAAAACCAAUUUGGCACAACUUAAAAUGUCUGCUAGGGAGAGGAUUCAGAGUGUUGUUAGGCCACGCAAUUAGUGCUUUAUUUCAUGAGCACCAAAUUCACCCAAUAGUGUUUUGUUUUAAAGAAGAGCUUGAAAUUCACAAUAACGGGUUUCAUUUAUCAGAGCCAUAUGGGACUCACCAUCUUUGGAUAUAUUUGUAAGGCUCUCACAAAGAAGACUCCUUAGGCAUCUCAGAUUUCACGGAUUGGAGGGCAAUCUGGAUGAAUAUCUUUUUUGGAAAUGAUGAACUAUCUUUUUCAUAUGUAGUCUCCAAUUUCAGUAAUCCUUGAGAAGCUCAAAAAAACAGGAAAGAGUUAAGUAAACCUCAGCUUAUUAGCUUUGACUGGAAAACAAAGACCAUGAUUCUUAGAUCUGGUUCAAAUGCCAAGUGUACCUUUGAUGUUGAAAUUGGGCCAUCUAAUCUUUGCAGUUUGUGAUGUGGCAUUUAUGAGAGGGAAGGUGGGUUCUAAGUCUCAACCUAUUUUUGCACUUUUUGCUAGUUCUGUCAUGGUCAUAUGUCAAUGGAUCAUUGGGAAGCUAUCUGCAACAUAGCAGACUGAUAAUAGAGCAUUGUAGUUUUUUUGAUGCUUAUCCAAGAUUAUUUCUUUAUUGCCUCCUCCUUUUCCAUACUUCUCUGAUCAUUAGGGAUCUAUUUUAAUGCAAUAUAUUCUCGAAAAUGUCAAUACAAGUUGAUUUUUUUGAUAAAUCUCAUAUUUGCCUACUGAUCUGUAAAUUUAGAGAUUUAAAAAUAAAAUCAGAUUGAUCUUCAUUUGGGGGCGCUUGCUAAUACUUAAUUUUUGGUUCCUAGAUUCUGUUAAGCUAUUCAUGACCUAUAAACAAAUAUUUAAGUGUUUACUAAUUAAAAAUGAAUAUAUUUUUAAAGGAUAGAGUGCUAUUGUGUUAUGACAGGCAACCACUAUUUUUUUAGGUUUUCAAAUUUUUGUUUUCUCAGUUCUGUAGGCUUUCUUGUAAAGGGCAUACUUGAUUAUGUUUGAUAAAUCUGGUAAAUCAGAAUAUUUGUGAGUCAUAAAUAGUACUAUAACAAUUACUACUGAGCUAUAAGGUCUAUGUAAACUCCAUAAGGAUGGUAAUUUGGGUUUUAUUUUAAAUUGUUAUGGUAAGUUGGCAAUUAUUUGAAAUAAUGCUUGCUCAUCUUUAAAUACCAUUUUAUUGUAUUGUCUUAUUUUAUUAUCCUCUAGUUUAUUUUUUAUAAAAACUUUUAACACUUCAUUUGCUAAUGAUGUUUGUAUUAUCAUGAUUUAGGUUUCCCUGAGAGUGUCCGCUAAACUUUGUUCAGUUAUGAGCAUUGUUGAAUAACAUUAAAUUAAAAUAAAAUAUACUGUAUUCUUAGCUGCUUUUAAACUUUAUAUUGAUACCAAUGUCAUAUAUUUUAAAUAUUAUUUCAUAAAGAUUUAAAAAUCUACUCCUACCAUCCCAUUUCUUCUCUCAUCUGCGUUAUACACUACAGAAAGAGCAGUUAGACCUCUGUUACCUGGCACUCCUGUAGGGUGCACACUUGUAUUGCUAUAUGUCAUUGACCCCCGUACUUUAGGCUGAUGAGGCUGCUGAACAAUAGGUAGAACAUUGGAAUCAUAGAAUGAGCUGUAACUGCUUAAAUCAACUUGAGCUUUAAUUGUGCUAGGUGGUUGAAUGAUAUUCUGUCUAUAUUUCCUUCUUAGUCAAAUGUUCUAAAAUCAUUUAAUGAGUCAAUUGCUAAAAUACUCUUAGGAUUGUUAUAUUAUUUUUUUUCCCUACAAAAAUAGAUAUUGUGACCCAAUGAGGUUAAAUGAUUUUUUCACUGAAAAAGUCAUUUUGAAACUAAACAUGAACCCGGUUUUUGGGUGAUGCCUGGUAUUUUCCAUAAGAAUUUUGAAAUAUUUUAUUUGGGAAAAAGAUAUAGUGUUGGGAUAGUAGCCAAAGGCAAAAAGAAAUGAAAGAUGGCAGAAAGACUCAGGAUAGAAUGUGUGAAUAUAGAUACAUUGGUAUUUCAUAGGUCUUUGGAUUUAGUAUAAACUGUAGGCUAUGAAGAGAAGAUAGACACAUGGAUCGAACAAGAAAAUGUGGAUGCAAUGAUCAAUAGUUAAUUUUUUUAUGAAUAUUUCUACUAAAGGACAGAUGAUUGGGGAAAGAAGGACAUAAUUUGAUGGGGUGUAUGUGUGAAUGGUAAAACAGUCGAAUGCUGAGAGGUGAGUGUGAAGAAAAGAGAUAAAGAUUAUAUGUAGUUUUGUGGCUCUAACUGUCUAGUUUUCUGCAUUUUCAUUGAGUUUCUGUGUAGGGAUGAAUGACUCCUGUAUAUAAUGUUCUUGGUAUAAAUAGAAUCCAUAAAUCAUUUGGGUUGAGAAGGAAUUUUAUUUCCUUGUGAAGAUAAACCUGUUUGAUUUUGAGGUGUGGUGAGCUAUUAUUCUUACUUUAUGGUCAGAGUAAAGUUUAUAUUGUUUUUGUUCAAAUUGUAAUAUGAGUAUAAUUACGUGGAGCAGAUGUGUGUGUGUGUAUGAGUGUGUACACUUGUAAAGAAGGACACUUUCAUUUCUGUCUCUUUGUUGAUCUGUCUCUUUCUGUUUCUCCUGUCUGCUGCUUUUUGCUUGCCAGUUUUUCUUUGUCUCGAUCAUUUUAUCAUUGAACCCAUCUGUGUAGAAAAGAGAAUGAUUGGUUUUCUAAUUUUUAAUGAUUUUUUAUUUUUUGUUAUUUUGUUCUCUCAACUUGUUUUCAUCUGAAGAAUUAAGGCUCAAGUAUAAGGCGUUUUAGUUCUCACAUUCAAGAGGUGUUUCUGCUUUCGUUCCCGUCCGUUUGUCCAUAUGUUUACUGGUCUCUGAUAGGCUGUGCAGUGAGACAGCAGUUUACUCUGUGCAUGUGUGUGUGUGUGAAAUUAGCUAAUUGGUGUUAGUAGAAAUAUUUUCACAUGUUUUAUAAGCAAAGUGCAGCAAGGUAUAUACAUGUAGAUAUGAUCCAGACACGCGCACGCUCACGACUGUCACUGCUCAUGCAUAGGCGCUCAGAAGUAAUUAAUGUUAAUAAGAUUUUAAUCUGCUUGUGAGAUCAUAAUGAGGAGAAAUGAAUGCUCUGAUUAGGAAAAGGUAACUGUGUGUGUGUUUUGGCUUAGAACAAGAUUUCAAUUUUUAUAAACCGCAAUUUUAGAACUUGUUUGUGAUUGCAUCAAUUGGUUUUUAUUUUCAAAUUAGAGGUCUGUUUAGCCAUUUGAAUGAUUAACCAAAUAAAUGGGUGAAACCCUGAUCAUAAGGAAUAGUGCAGGUUUUCAUUUGCAAGGCAAUGUUAGUGUACAGCAAGGCUAUGAUCAUGUCUUUUGCCAAUGAACCAUUUUUUUGUUGUUUUUUAAAAAGCUUUUUCAGAAGCUACUUGUGGAGCUAGUACUCAUUUUUAUAAAUGUAGAUGUUAUCUAUAUGUUCUGGAGACACCAGUCAGACACUGUAACAUUGUGUCUGAGAUACAUUCCUGCCAGUCAGUAAAGGUGGAUUCAGUGUCCAAAGAAUCUAUAUCAUGCUUCCUGAAAUGAUUAUGGGGAAAGAUGUAAAACAAGCAAGAUUUUUUUUUCCCUAAACAUGAUCUUUACAAAUUUUAGAGGCUUGACAUUUUUAAUGGUGAAGAAAAAUAUCUCAAAGUUAAGUAAAGAUGCUGUCUCAUCAUGGGCUCAAGUGCUGUGCAGUCAAGAGCUGCAGUAUAGACUGGCUCGAAUCCAGCUGGACACCAGGGGUCCUUCUCCACAACAAAUUUUUUGAAAAUAUUGUUUACAAAGCUUUGGCAUACAUUUGCAUUAUUAUUAUUUUUUAAUUAUAGGAUGAAUCUAAAUAUCUAUUAAGGGCCCUUGCCCUGUAGCACAUAGAAAUCACUUAUGCAUUUUUUAAUAUAAGUAGUGGAUUAAGAUAUUCAAGGAUUGUAAUCUCUUUUAAAAGUAAGUAUAGUACUGAAAUGUACGAAGUCUUGGAUAUGAAUUGGGGUUUAGGGUAGUGUAGUUUAUUUCCAGCUAAAUUUUACAGACAUGGUUUAGGUUCUCCUAGGUUUUGGUUAUAUUACUACAAUCUUUCUGCUGGAGCUUAAAAAUGAUGGGGAAGAAAGAGAAGGUGUUAGAGUUUGUUCUAUUGAACAAUUCUGCAAUUUCUGUGGUUCCCAGAGGUCUGUUGGAUUUUGCUUUCCAUAGAAUCCGUAGGAAUGAUGAUUAUCUAACCAAAAGAGUCAUUUGCCUUUAACAGUGUUUAGUUGACUUUCUUGGGUCAUUGAAGCAUAGUUAGGAAAAUUUUUCCCACUUGCAGUUUGUAGAGGAAUUCAUUGAUGUUUUUCACAGUCCUUGUACAGUUUCCUAUUGUUAGUUUUCCCAUGCGGUUAUAUAUAUUUUUACAUUUUCUAUUCUGUGCCAUUGGUCUGUCUAUUCAUAUGUCAUUAUCACAUUAUUUUGAUUAGAAUAUGUUUUAAUAUCUGAAGCAUUAGGCUCCCUCCCCACCCCAGCCCUUGCUCUUCUUUUUCAAGGUUUUCCUGGCUUUUCUCACUUAUUUGUUAUUCCAAAUUAAGUUUAUAAUCAACUAGCAGAACUGGAGGGGAAAAAAAUCUGAUGGUAUCUUUAUUGGAAUUAUGAUAAAUUCACGAAUUAACAUAGGGAUAAUUAAUAUCUUUAUGAGGUUGAAUCUUCUUAUCCAAGAACUUUCUGUUCUUUCCAUUUCUUCAUAAUUUUUGUUUUCAGAAAUGUUAUAGAGCUUUCCUUAUAGAGGUUUUAAACAUUUGUUACUAAGUUUGUUUCUUGGUGUUCUAUUCGUUUGUUUAUUUACCUGCCUACUUACUUUUUUACAUAACUUACUAUCCUAAACAGUCUCCUCUUCUGUAAUAUUUACUAAAUGGCUUUUUGUUUCUAUAUAGGAGCUAUUGAUUUUUGUAUGUUAAUUUUGGCAAACUCCCGCUUUGCAAAAUUCUUUUAUUUUCUGUGGUAGCCUGAUGGCUUUGAAGCCCCAUUCUAGCACAGUGCUCGGUAUCUCUGAGACCAUGGACAAGUUAUUCUGAGCCAUUUUUCUUAUCUGUAAAGUGUCCAGAUAAGAAAACCAAACUCCUAGACUGAUGGAGAGUAAAUGAGAUCAUAUAGUAAAGCAGCUAAUAUUUUGCCCAGCACAUAGUAGGCACUCGAUUACUGAUAUCCAUUACUAAUGUAACGCAAUAUAUGACAUGUUAUUCUUGUCUUGUAAUAUGUUAUUUUCAUUAUUAUUCUUAAAAUCUGGCUACUGAACUAUAGAAUUAUUGAAGGUUUAUCGUAUCAGAGUUUUUACUUCAAGAAUGGAGUGAAUUAAAGAAAUGAAAAAAACUUAAACUUUCUGAUUAACUUUGUGAUUUAAGACACUAGGGACUGAAGAUUAAUUCUGAGAUUAGGGCGUUUUGUAGUUUUGCACAUAUAUUUCCAUUACUUCUGUUUUAAUUAUGAUUAUUGCAUGCAAGACUCCUUAGCUCUGGAGAGUAAGUAGAGGGAACGUCUUGAUCACCUAGAGUGAAUAUUCAAAGCAAUUUCUUGAGUACAUUGAUUCUAGUGCUCGUUAGCUACCUAAGUGGAUGUGAGCAUCUAGUUUAAAGUUCUGUAACCAUUAUGUUCUCCCUCAAAAAUCUGCAACUUUGCUAUGUUUUCUUAGUAAACAAUGUACUAACUUGUGAAUGAACUUGUGCAGAAUAAGUAUUAGACAUAUAUGAACUCAUGAUGAUAUUGGUGUAAGCAGAAUAAUAGUGCUUGCCAGCCCAUUAUGUAACACUUUUGAUAAAGUUGGUGAAAAAACAAUAAUUGAUAAAAAUGUAGUCCAGUGUAGUAGUCUCAUGAUUUUUAAGCUUCACUCUAAUUUAAUAAAAUGGAUGCUAACUUUGCAAAUACACUCUUAAUUCAUCUGAAAUAUCUAUUGUUAGAAAUGAGAAUGCCAGAGUUUCAGGUGGGCUCCUCUCAUUCCUGACUCGUGGUUGUUGUGAGGGUUUACUGAGAUAAUGCACUAGCAUUAUAAUGUCAUUAAUUAUAAUGAUAAUGCAGGUGCCUGGCUCAUGGUAAGUGCUUGAAAAUGGUAGUUGUUUCUAUUGCUGUUAUUUUAUUAUUACCUUUGCUAGUUCUUCACUCCCACCCUCGCACAUGUUGUCCUCAUAUAUAUAUUCUUACUAGUAGUAUUGUUCUGUGCUUAGAAUAUAUCUCAUAAUGUUCAUUUACAAAUAUAAAAUUACAUAUAUAUCAUUUGCCAAUAUUGAAAUUAGCUCAGAGUGAAGUAAGACUCCAUCACUGGAGCCUGUGAAAGCUUAGUUGCUUGUGGAUGAAAUUUUGUGGAGCUGCAAAGGUAAAGAAUAACUUCUCUCAAAGAAUUAUAGAUACAUUUUGUCCAGUUUGAAAUCUCCCAGAGUUCUGGCUUAGCACUCAGUGUAAUUACUCCUUCACAGCCACAUGGUGCCCCUUUGUUCAUUCUUUCAUGUGGAGGACAACAUAGAGUACCUGUUAGGUAUAAAACAUUGUUCUGGGUAGUAUGAGAUGUACAAAUAGUGAGAUUAGUUAGAUGAACUGUCUCUAUUCAAGCAGUCUAGUAAACGAUUCAGAGAGGAGACAACUAGGUAAUGUGCAAGGACUUUGGGGCAAGAGUAUUUGGUUUGAAUCCCUGCUCUGAAACUUACUAGUUGUGUAACUUUAGUCAAGUUAUUUAGCCUAUCUGUGUUUCAGUUUCCUUACUUACAAAAUGGGGCUGAAAAUAAUACCUACUGUAUAGGAUUGUCCUGAGGAUUAAAUGAUUUGGUACAUGCACGGCAUUUAGAGCAAUAACAUAGUAAGCACUCAAUAAAUGUUGGUUAACGUUAAUGUAAUUAUUAGAUGAAGCAAAAUAAAAUUAAUGCCAUAAAACAAUAAAAACAAAGUAAUACAGUAUUAUACAGGAUGAUAAUACUAAUUUUUAUUGUAGCUGGGAGCAGUGAAAUGAAGGGAGCUUUAUGGUUGAAGUAAUGUUUAAACUGAAAACUUGAAGUGCGAUUUCUGUAGGGUGAUGAAGAGUAGAAGAGCAGGGGUGAGUUGAUUUCUAGGCUGAGGGAAUCUCCCAAGCAAAGAUUUAAAGGUGAUAGAGAAGCGAAAAUGAAAACUUCUGGGGAUUCUGCAGUCAGAAAGACUCAUAUCUGAAGCCCAGCUCCACUCCUUGUUAUCUGUGUGACCCUGGGCAAGUCAGGCUCUCUUUGGGUCCUUCCUGCCUGAGAUGCGGUCUGGUGGCUCUCUCUAAGGCAGUAAGCUACAGCAAUUAUGGAGCUGACCUUGUCAUGUGCUGCCUGUUGUUGGACAUAUGUAAGCCAUUAUUUUGUCUAGUUUUUAGUUGUUUAAUGCAGGAGGCUAAGUCCUGUUUCUGUUACUCCAUCAUUUUCGGAAGCAGAAGACCAACAUCUUACUUUUGCUUUUCUCCUCAUUGAGCUUGGGACUUAUCGUCUCAUGCUGUCAGCACCUGUAGUUAGUUACCUUUUUUGUAUUCACUACACUGCAUUACAAUUUAUAGUUUCUUAUCUGCCUCCUCGCUACACUGGCUUCUUCGAGAAUGGGGAGUCUGUCUGGUUCAUCUUUAUCACCACUACCAACCCACUACUCUGUUUGGAGUCUGGAACAUAGCAAGCAGUUAAUGAAUGCCUUUUACAUUCAAUUUAAUUACUGUGAAUUGUAGUUUAGUGCCAUACUGUGAAAGACUUUGAAUGCUAUACUAGAGUUUGGAUUUAAUCAAUAAACCACUCAGGAUUUUUGAGGAGGUGAGAGAAAUUCCCAGGGCCUUUAUUGUUUUUCAAAGACGAUAACUCUAGAAACAUAAAGAUGAAUGACAGAUGUUAGAGGUUGAAAAUAGAUGACUUAGGAUUCUAGGAAUAAUAGUGGGACUAGAAAGGGAGCAUUGACAGGAUCUGGUGAUUAUUUGGUUGGGUGCCACUAAAAGGGAUGGUGAGAAAAAUGAUGACUCAGAUUUUCAGAAAUGGUUGAUCAGUUUCUUUAGAAUGAAAUAUUAGGUUUUUUGUCUUCUUUGGCACCAAAAUGAAGGAUUGGAGUAUAAAAAUUUGAGAGUAAAAUUUCACAAUGUAAAGAAGUAAUUAAUGGUAGAGAUUUAUCUAAAUUAUGUUUUAGUUUUUUACUAGAAUAAAGCUUGAAUUUAAAGUAUUUUAUAAUUCUUUGGGGAAAUGAAUCAUGAGUUUUAUUUUAUCGUGUAGGGAUAAUUUUCUAUUGUACUACAAAUAUCAAUGUCUUUGUUUAUAUACAUUUUUCCUCAGUAUAAUCCAUUUUAUUUGGAUGCUACAUUUCUAUAUAUUUUUCUUUCCCUGUUAGUUUUUAGUUUUUUUUCUGAAAGAUUGCUUCUUUUUAGUCUUUAGAAUAUGCUGGUAAUGGACUCAGGGCUAAAAGUUCAUUUUGUGUGGUUGAAUGGGCUAGUACCUGUAGAAUGACCUUGAGUGAGAAUAAUUUUUCUCAAAUAUAUUUUAACUUUGAUUUUGUAGUAUCAAUUUUCAUCCAGAUUGUCUUCUCUUUUUGAGAGACGUUAGAAGAGCUGCUGAGAGUAGAAGCGUGGUAGAAGUAGGGGAACAAGAAACAUUAAAACAAUUAUGGAAACCCUCCCAUGCCAAACCUUUAUGUAUAAAAUAUAGGAGUAACUAUUAGAAAAAGUUAAGCACUUGUAACAAGAACUUGUUUAUAGUGGUCUGAAGGACAUUAAUUACAACUAAUGGACUGAAUAUGUGAAAAGGAGAUAUUUCUCCCAAGGAGUUCUAUUCACUUUGGCGUAAUCCUCUAAGGAAAUAAUGUUUCGUGUAAAGUGUGAUCUAACCUGAGAAAAAUGACACAAUGUUUGAAUCAGUAAUAACAUCCUGACAAGGUAGGGUAAUAUUUUUUAUAUUAUAUCCCAUUUCUCAUUUCAGUUUCUUACGUGAACUAUGUGUUACUCCUGUUACAGAGAAUGACAGGCAGUGACUACCAUUUAUUGAAUCACCCUUUGUGCUGGUAACUGAACUGUGAGUCACACAAAAGAAGUGCUAAGAAUUGCCCUUUGAGACUCUGAAGGCUGAAGAGUCCCUGAUAAAUUGCAAGUCUGUCUGUGCCCCAUAGCUGCACAGACUGCCUGAAGUUACAUUUAGAGACUGAAAUCACUGCACCUUAAAAACAAAAGAUUGGGCUGCACUGCAUUCCUGUAAGUGAACGCUUCCUGCACCUUCCUCUGGAUUUUUUUGACCAACUCAUAAAAUGACAAAAACAUUGGUAACACGGAAACCAGACAUGAGUAAAAAUUUGAAUGUCCCUGAAGAAAUAUAUAUUUAAAUGAUUUCCUUCUUUAAAAAAAGAAAAUUUGUUGGGCUCAAUAUUCAGCAUGUCUUUUUUAUCCAACCUAAAUUGUGGAUCCUUUCUUUUGGCUGGUUUGAAUUGCUUUAGGGAGGGUGUCACCCACUGUGCCUCAGCACAGUGACAUACACCCUGUCAGGAAGGAUUCUUGCAUUUUUGUACAAGUCUCAUUGAAGGUAACAGAUUUCUUAGGGAAGCAAAGUAGAUUCCUUUUUCCUUUGUGAUGUCAUUAGAAAUUUUUAGCCUUUGUGUCAAUGGAAAUGGAGAAAAAGAAAGUUCAUGAUGACAUCACAAGAUUCUGUUGCCUUGAGGACUUUGGGCAAAACUAAGUAAAAUGCAUAAUUCCCUUGUGUGCGUGUGUUCCCCAUUCUGCUAUGAAGCAGUCAAAAUAGCACAUCUUAUGUCUUCCCGUGAGCUACAAGGCUGUCUCUCAGAGCCCCAUUGUUCCAUAAAUGCAUGUCAGAGUCUACCACAGUCUGGUCUACCCUUAUUUAGCUGCUGUUUUGUCAAUGUACUUGGAAGAACAAUUAACAUUUGGGAUUUCAAUGUCUGAAUAACAGGCAGUGAAUAGAACCCAAGCAUAUAAAAGAUUCAGACGCCCAGGGUAAGAAAACAGAAGCUUAUAGUUGGUAGGGGAAAAAAAGAAAAGCAUUUUAAUGCUGCACUCAAAGGUUGUGAAAUACUACAAGGAAAGUCAAUCUGUUUUUUUUUUUUUUAAUUUUAGAUCAAAAUGUACAUUUUGGUAAUGAAAUCCAGAAGGUUAUGAUGUCUUCCUAAGUUUUGCAGUUUAAUAUGUUGCAAGGUCUCUAGCAAGAGAGUCUUAAAACAUUUAAAUAACAUUCAUCUCCUUGAGUCAUUGUUGGAAUGCCGGAUGUGGGGAAUACUGCAUCGUGGUUUUCAGUGUCACAGUGCCUGUACAGCAAGGUACAUUGAAGGUGAUUCAGACAGUUUCCUGCAUUUUCCGGUUGGUUACUGCACUGUUUUACUAUUGACUAUAGUUCUUGAUGUUGACUGUAGACAGUCUUGAAGUUGUCUGAAUAUCUCUGCCUAUUGUCUUAAUUUCUGCUAGGUCCAUUUUUCUGGGAGAUGAUACAUGGACAGAGCAAGAUCUCCUCACUGACAGGGGAUCUGGUGAACUGGAGGGAACUUAGGCAGCUUAUGCGUGUUGCCCACUGAGCACAGUGCUUGGCUGGUAUGAGUGAAUAAUUGAUGAUUAUUGUUAUUUUUGUCAUAACUACAACAGUUCAAACCCAUAGACAGUAAGUUCUCUAAAAGCAGGGCCUAUUUCUUAUUCAUUUUUGUAAUCCCCAGUCCUUGGUGUAAUAGUAAUCAAGAAAUAGCUGUUGUUAUUAGUACAAUUACAAAAUUUCUUAAAAGUCAGAAUUUUAGGAUUCAUUUUGUCAGAAUAUUUUUGUGAAGAGGGGUUGAAUAGAGUUUUUAAUAGUCAGGAAGACAAUCAUAAAGGAAUUUGUCAAAGACAAACCUUCUGUUCAUCAUACCACAUUAGGUGUCAGUCCCCCAGUCUUUCUACUCUUUGACUUUCCACUUCUUUCUCCUGACCAAAAUGAGGAGUGCUCAUUCAUGUCAUAUCCUUUUCCUCUGUGAAAUGGUCUUCAAUAGUUUUCCAUUUAAGUCAUGGGUCUGACAUCCCAUACACUGGAGUUGUCUCCAAAGAUGAAUCUACCUGACUCCAGGAUAGAUGGUGCUCUGUACCUGUUUGUCUAAUUGCCAUGCAGUGGAUUACACUUCAGGGAAAUGGGGCAAAUGGUACAAUGGGUAUUGGGCCAAGAUGCCAGGGAUUUGGGAAAUUACCAUUAGAAACGUCUACUUUCAGUGCAUUAAAAGCCUGGCCAGUUUCUGAGCACUAAUAAGACCACAACAUUCUUUAGAACUCAGACCCAUUUGACUUCUUCUAAGUUUAGCUUCCUGGGUUUUUGUUUGUUUGUUUGCUUUUUGUUUUUUUGUCAUAAGGUUCUCUGCCCUCCCCUACCAAUUUUAAUUUAUUUCCAAAAGGAUUCCCUUCAUUUUUAUUAAAUCAGCUUCUGGUGAUGCAAAUUAAAGCUCUCAUAAAACUUGGCCUUUGAGGCAAAACUAAAAUGAUAAAAUUUGGGCUCAGUGAAUUGUACUGUUAUCAUGUUGAAUAACAUUUAAGGACAUCAAAGAACUUUAUAAACACAUUGCACAUUUUUAAGGUUAAAAAAUUGAGGUGAAAGGAAUUUAAGAGCAGAACAUCAAUAAACAUUAUAGUAGAAGGCAUGUAAGAAAUAAACGUCCAAUCAUCUCAUUUUGAAAUAAAUAAAUUGAGGCCCAGGGUAGGGCAUGCAGGUUAACCCAAACCAUACUGACCACCAACGCAGAUCAUCCUCAGACAUCUACUUGAGAGUAGACCUGAAUUUAGACUCUGGGGCUUCGACCUUUCCUCUCUACUCAGGGAACAAAUUGCCUUGCAUUCGUUUUAUGAGAUCCAUUGAACUGUCUUCCCCUCCACUGAGUAGUCCAAAAUUCAUAUAUAAGGAUAGUCUGAAAAAAUUUAUUGUUAUCAAAAAGUUUAUUUUUCAUUUUUCCUGUACAUUGAUAUCAUGCCUCUGGUUGUGCAAUGAGUCACAUAGAGGCAAAUUUAUUUGGUUGACUUAGUAUUCUUUAUGAUGAUUUACAAAGUGGACAGAAGACCAUUAGAAACUUCAAUAGUGGUUUAAUUGGGCUUACAGUCAUGAUGAAACCAGUAAUCUGAACAGAGCCAUUGUGACAUGAAAUUUAGACUUCCCAAGAGUGUGCAUCAUGCAUGGUGUCAGAAUGUCACUGUUGCCAGGGGUCAUUUCCGUCAAAGAAAAGUUUUUCAGGGUCUGAAAUAAAUGAAAUAAACUUUAAUAAUUUAAAAUGAAUUACUUGCCCUGGUAAUUUAUUUCAGGUUGCCUUUAUUGGAUUCUGUCACUUAGCAAUUCAGGUAGGAAAUUUUCUAUUUCACCCAGAGCUAAGUCUUGGCUACAUCUUAGUUUCUUCCUCAAAUUUAUUUUAUCCCCUCCAGACCUUCUCACCCCCCAGCAUGAAGAAGCUUAUGUCACUAUGCACUAAAAUUUAGUGGCCUAAGUAUUUGUGUCCCCAAUAAUGAGACGAUGUUCUGCCCUUAAAAAUUCCAUGGAAGCUUUGGCAUAUAGAGAAGAAGGGAGAAUGAAGAUGCCAGAGCAGGGCCUUAGAUGUAGACGCUCAACAAGAUUCUCUUCUCUUUCCUCUUUCCUCUACAAUAAUAAUUUAAAUUUUUUUCUAUGCUUCUUGUGAACAAAUCAUUUCACCAGGAUACAUAGGUAACACCUAUUUCCUAUCAACUAGUAGUUCAUAAUCUAUUUGGAUAAUAGAUACAUCUUUUGUUAUAGACAAAAUGUUAUAUGGGUACAGUAGAGGAAGUAAAUGUUUAUCAUUUCUUCUGAACCAUCAAGGAAUAAUAUGGAUAUUAACAAGCAGCCCAAGUAGAGGGAAUUAUAAAAAUGAAAGUUGAGGGAACAGUGAGUAGUAAUGGUGUGAUAUGAAUAUAGCAUGCUGGUUGGGGCCAGUGUUUUCCAAAGUGUGGGUUUCAACCUCUUUAUAGGUCAUGAAAUCAGUUUAGAGGAUCACAGUCAAUAUGCUUUUAAUGAAAUAGAACCAAAGGAAAAGAAUUAUAAAAAGAGUGUACUAUAUAUUUUUAAGAUAAUGAAUUGCAAAAUAAAUAUAUUUUUUACUGGGAAUCAUGCCACCAAAACACAAAAGCAGAUCUAAAGAUGAUAGGUCUUUUAAAUACUCAACUCAGAAUGACUCAUCAAAAGAGGAGAAAUAACAAGUAUUGGCAAGGGUGUGAAGAAAAAGGAACCCUGAUGCACUGUUGGGAAUGUAAAUUGGUGCAGCCACUAUGGAACACAAUUGAAGGCUCCUCAGAAAAUUAAAAAUCGAGCUACCAAUUGAUCCAGCAAUUCCACUACUGGGUAUCUAUCUGAAGAAAAUGAAAACACUAAUUCAAAAUGAUAUAUUCACCUCUAUCCUCAUUGCAGCAUUAUUUACAAUAGUCAAGAUAUGGAAACAACCUAAAUGUCCAUCCAUGGAUGAAUGGAAAAUAAGAUGUGGUAUAUAUAAAUAUACAAUGGAAUACUACUCAAUCAUAAAAAAGAAUAAAAUCUUUCCUUUUACUACAACAUUGAUAGACCUUGAGGGUGUUAUGCUAAGUGAAAUAAGUCAGAGAAAGACAAAUAUUGCAUGAUUUCACUUAUAUGUGGAAUCUAAAAAACGAAACAAAACCCAGAUUUACAGAUACGGAGAACAGAUUGGUGGUUGCCAGAGGGGAGAGAGGUUAGUGGGGAGGCAAAAAUGGGCGAAGGGGAUUAAGAAAUACAAACUUCAAGUUAUAAAAUAAAUAAGUCAGGGGAUGUAAUGUGCAGCAUGAGGAAUAUGGUCAAUAAUAUUGAGUUAACUUUGUAAGGUGAGAGACAGUAACGAGAUUUAUUGUCAUGACCAUUUCUCAAUGUAUACAAAUGUUGAAUCACUAUGUUGUACAACUGAAACUGAUAUAAUACUAUAUUACAAUUAUACCUCAAUAAACAUAAAUAAAUAAGUAAAUACUCAUCUCAUGUAAUCCUGACUAAGGGAUAAUAUUAUUUUCCCCCUUUUUAUAUGCUAGAAAGUGGAGGGAUUAAGCAGUUUGCUCCAGGUCAUACAACAGGUAAAUGGUAGAGAUAGGAUGUGAAUAUGUCUGUCAAACUCCACAUUCAUACUCUUCCCAUGAUUUGACUCUGUUUUCCAGGGUGGCAUGACUUCAAUUAUAUCCCUAUUGAUAAGUCAUACAUUUAUAUCUCUAGUCCUUAUAUCUCUCCCAAACUCUAGUUAUAUUUCCAAUGUCUUUAUUUAAAUCUUCAAUUAAAUAUAACACUAGUUUCUCCAAGUCAGUACAUCAAAAUUGGAUUUAUCCUUCUAGGUAAAAACCAUCCUCCUUUUGACCAUCCUAAUUUUCUUCACCCCAAUUCUCCAGGUCAUCUUGACUUAAAAUAUGUCAUUCUUGCUCUCCACCCCAGGUAUCCAAUAAGUGGCCAAGUCUUGUUAAUUCUUCUUUGGUACCUCUAUCCUAGUCAGGUUUUCAUCUUCUCUUGCCUGCAAUAAUCUCCUAAUUGGGAGAGAGAGGAGGAAGGGAGACCAGCUCAUCCUAAACUCUGUUGCCCGGUUAGGUCUCCUAAAGCAAGAGCCCUAAGAUCAUGUCACCUUUGUUCAGACAAAACUUUAAUAAUUCUAUAUUAAUUACCAAACAGUUCCUAACUAAUAUUCGUAACAUUCUAAAAUCUAAUUCUAACCCCAUUUCUGACUUAAUCUUAUGGUAUAAUAUACCAUACACUCGGGCCAAAUUUCUGCACCCACAUUUACUGUAUUGUUCCUGCCAUCUGGAAUGUCCAUCAUUCUGUUUUUCCGUAUGCAAAUCUAACCCGUCAUUCCAGGUCCACUUUAAAUGCUAAUAAUUCCCCAAGAAACCUUCCUCCCUGACCUGGUCAGAAAUAAUCCACUCUCUCCUACCUACCAAACUCACAGCACUUGUAGUGGCCCUGCCAACUAUUUGAUUUUGGAUUUCUAGCCUUCAAACCUGGGAGAGAAUAAAUUUCUGUUGUUUUAAGUCAACAAGUUUGUGGUAAUUUGUUACAGCAGCCUAAGAAACUAAUACAGCACUCAUCUACACUCUUUUUUGAGACAAGAAUUACUUUCUAUAUUUUUAAACAAUAUUUUUGUGCAUGCCUUAGUCUUAUACUAGAAAAUAAAUUAGAUAGAGUCCACAUUUAGUUAAAAUUUCUAAACCCUACAGAAUCUACCACAAUAGAAUCAUUAAUUCAUUAUUCAACCAUGCUUAACACUAGUAAUAUAGAAAUGAUCCUUUAGGCUCUCAUGGAACUUACAGUCUCCUAAGGGAAUCAGAUGUUAAAUAAACAAAUGAUUCUGAAUUGCACAUCGUAGUCCUUGAAAAAAGCAAACAGGUAUGCAAGACAACAAUGGGUGAGGGAAAUCUAUUAUACUGCCCUUUGGGUGCUCAAGAAAGAAUUCUCGUAAAAAAUGUCAUUUAAGUUAAGAGUUGGAGGAUGGAAGGAUGGGAAGAAUCAGCCAGGUGAUGAAUUUUGGGUGGAGAUGGAAGCAAGAGAGGGAGAGAAAACUCCAGACAGAAACAGCAAGGACAAAGCCUUGAGGCAAGGACAAACAUUGUAUAUUCAAGGAAAUAAACAGAUUCCAGAGUGGCUACAGCAAGCCAGCAAAGGAGGAGAAUGACUGGAAGUCAGGUCAGAGAAGUGGCCAGGGAAAGGAGUUUAGAUUUUGUUAUGAAUACAUUGAAAAAGCACAUAGUAGAUGCACAAAAAGUAAAUAAAUAAAUGUAUGUAUUUAUAUGUGUGUGUGUGUGUGUACAUUGAAGGACGGCUCAAAAUUAGAACAAGACAAAAUAAUUCAAAGGUAAAUAGUAUACACAAGUUCAUAGCAUCCAUACGUUCAUUUUGAAUCCUCACUGAAGGUUUACUUCUGAUUUUACUUAGGGUUUGAACUUCUGAAACUAAGGUCUAAUUGCUCACAACAUAUUUCCCAUCGGCAUAACCAAAGUAGAUUUCUGACAACCUUCUAAGAUAAGGUCAAGUUAAUUUUAUUUCCUUUCUAGUUAAUAAUUGUUAAAAUUCUGUUGUUGGUUAAUAGAUCUCCUGUUUUUAUUUAUAUUUAAGUGCUUGUUGUGUAAUGUAGGAAUGAGUAUCAAAAGUGUUUUAUUUCCAGAAUGUACUUUUACCUGUUAAACUUUAAUCUUAUUUUUAAUUUUGGUGUAUUUUACCAUGCGCAAUGACCAGGGGCCUGGAGGCAUAGAAAGCCUUGAAAAUGAAUCAUCAUUAUCCUCAUUAUUACUACCUAUAAUAUUACUGAAUUUCUGGAUUAAAAACAAUCCAAACUGUUUUAAAGUAUGAUGCAUUAAUAUCCUGAAAUGCCACUAAGUCAGGAUAGAGAUGUUAGUUUGUUUGUAAAGUGAUGGAAAUUAUCCCCUUUUACAAUAAAAGAAGAAAUAGAGUAGAGGGAAUGUGAAAAUUAAACCAUAGAGAAGUAGGUUAAGCUCUGAGGAUAUGAGGAUUUAUCUGCUGUAACUCAGUAGAAAGACACAAGAAUCAUGAAAUAUUACAGCUACAGAGAACCUAAGGAAUUAUUUAUUCUAACCUCCUCAUUUUGGAGAUGAGCAAAAUUCAGGCCUAGAAUUCCUAUCCAGGUCAUACAGUUAAAUAGUUAAUGGCAGGGCUGGAAUGGUAACCCCAAUUCUUAGGAUCUAGGUUAACACAGCCAAACCCGCUAAUCUGUGAUCUGAGCCCCUACACAAUAACUCUUUCAAGGUCUUAGGUUGAAGAAGAAAUAUUAAGUACUGGAGAUGAGUCUACAGACAAACUUUAAUUAAUAAAAAUCUGAACAAUAUAUAUUACUCACAAUCUGUUUACUUAAUCUGCCAGAUGCUUUAUAAAAGUUGUCUCUAAUCCUGCUACCAUACUCAGCAAUCACUCCACAAAGUAGGAAUCAUUUCCAUUUUAUAAGGAGAGUGCUGAGCUCCAGAAAGAUUAAAGAACAUACAAGAUUGCAAAGCCUGUAAGUGAGUUUGUACUGAUGCCGGACCUAACUGAUUCAAAGUCUGUACUAUCUCCUGCUUGGUGUUUUUAUCUAUUGCAUUUUGUUAUCAUCUUAGCUCAGGUGCUCACAGAGGCCAUUAGUUCUCUAAUAGCCCAAAUGUCUGAAAAACUUGAAAAAAGUUAGGAAGGUAAGGAAGAAAGUUACAUUUAGCAGGUGCCUGCUCUGCAUAAAGCUCUUUACAUUUAAUUCUCACAACAGAGCCUCAAGAUAGAUGUUAUAAUCCUUAGUUUACAAUUUAGGAAACUGAGGCAGAGUGAGAUUAAAUUCCCCCAUGCAUUUCAGUAAAAGCCUGAGGCAGGAUUCAAACUUAGAUCUGUCUGACCUCCAGAGUCCUUCCCAUUAUUCCACCUCCAAAUCUGCUCUUCUCCUGGAUGAGACUUAGUUUUCUAUAGUCUGCACACUUCAGUUUCUUAUCUGGCAAGGUAGAAUUAUAAUACAUGCUCUUUCAUAGACUUCCCAAGAAGAGAGAAUGUUGAGAGUGUGCUUUCAUAAUUAAGUUAAAUCAUCUUAUCUGGAAAUAAAUACCAUGCCCCCUGUAUAUUUCCUUCUUUGAGAAAUGAGGUGGGAAGAUUAGUCAAAUCCAUGACAUCAGUCUUUCAUCUCUGCACCGUCUUGACUCACUGUGUUUCUGUGCUCAGGAUCUCAGUGUAUCACAGAUAGUGGUACCACUGACCUAGACCAUACCUGAAAACACCUUUGAAAAGUGAAAGAAGUAAAAUCAUUGUAUUUAUUAGACCAAUAAGAAGGAAUAAGAUUUACAUUUUCAUUCUUAAGACUAACUUAUUUGAAUGCUUUAUAAGUCUGAUCAGAGAUAGAGGUCAAUGAAGGUGCUCAUCAUACAAAACUGAAAAUGCAAACAUAUUUAUGAAUUGUUAGCAUUGUUUUCUAAUGACCACUGAGGAAUACAUUAGCAGUGAAUGCCUUGAUAAAAGCAGAAGAUAGAGAGAGAGAGAAAGAGAAAGAGGGAGAGGUUAGAAAAACUUGUUGAUGGCAAGUCCGACUGCAAACAUGAUCCUGAGUUUCCUUCGAUGUGUCAACUUUAGCAGCACUGCAUGUAUACACUUCCAUUUCUGAGGAGGUCAUUUUCUAUUAUUGAUACACUUGAACAAUUAUUCUAAAACCAGCUGUCACUGUAGAAUAGCACCAGUACCCAUAACAAAUUUCUGGUAAUUAGAAGCAAUGCCUACCUGUUAUGGUUUUGGAGUUGGUGUUUUUUCCUCUCUACUUCUUGAAUUUGACUUCCAGGUCUUUCUGUGCGAAAGCCCUUAGCAGUCUGUUCAAGUCUUCUAAAAGAACUCAGUGAAAAACAUCUUUCCUGCUUCACAGAAGGGACUUGGUUCUUUGGUUCAGCUUGGCUGUUUGCAAUAUGUUGCUCACAGCCCUAAAUCGUAAAGUGCAUUAAUAUAUCCUUUGAAUUGCUGGAUCUCCACGGGAGGAAAAAAAAAACGUUUUCAAAAAUCGUAUAAUAUUUUGUUUAAACUUCAAUUCUGGUUCAAUGUUUUGUUCUCAAAGGAAUUUUGAAUGAAGAAAAAGCUUUUGUAAGAGGAAGGAAGCUUAUCUAAUCUCUUCAAGACUGAUGAGAAGCAAUCAGGAGACUUGUGACUCUUUGAAACAGUAAAUUUCCAGGGAAUUAGGCACACGUUUCUCAAGAACAAUAAAGAAUGUUACACUUCAGGUGGCAGCCCAUCGGCUCUAAAUGCACCUCUUCAUGUAUCCCAAAUGGCAAUUUGAAAGCCCCAUUCUUUGAGUCAACCGGAAAAGGGAGGAGGCCAUGCUGAACUGACAUCCUUUCAGGAGGUCAUGAGAAAUUGAAUACAGAAUGAAGUCAGUCUUCUGGUUAGUAUCAGAUUCUCAGAGUUAUAAACCUCUUAGGAUAAAAUGUCUUCAAAGAUGUAGGAAAAUAAGUUCGCUCAUGUGAUCCUUACCAGGUAUUAGAAGAUUUAGAUUUUUUACAAAGUCGUUUGCUUGUUUGCAACUGCACUAACUUGACCAUAUGAAAUUUUCUUGACCUUUGCUACAGUUUUACUGAACUGCUCUUUGCUUAUCUUAUUUGAAUAUGGUAGGACUUUAUUCAAUGAUCAAUAAUCAAUAUAUGUCUGACAUAGUUAUCAUUGCCAUUGUUGUUACUGUCAGAGUUUUAUUCUCUUCUCUGGAUUAGGGCUGACAGGAACAGCUGUGGGCCUGGUUACACAUUUAACGAUACAUUUGUCGCAUCCUCUUGUAGCACUGGAAAGUGGAAGCGACUAAGUAGACUGGCUGCUCAGUAAGUUAACUUAAACUCACCUCAUCUGGAGAACUUGUCAGGAAAGUUUUAUUUAUAAGCCCUUUUAGCACAUAGGGCAACAGUAUGAAUGAAAAGCUCCUGUUUUUUAAUAAAAAGACUCAUUAUCAUGCUGUAUAAGACUCUCCGAUUGAUGACAUAAUAGCAUCCACAUUAUCUUUGCAGUGACCACUAGGGCGGAAGCAAGUGUAAUUGAGAGGGAACAGCAUACAGCUGACUGUGCGCAGACUUGAUUCACGUAUUGUCAAACAGAUUUGUCCUGAGAUCAUUUUCCUUAUCAAUUAGGACACUUUUCUUAUUUUACAGACAUUCUGCAAAGAAAUCAAAUGAUAUACAUGAAGUAUUUAGAGUUCCAUGCAAUGAAGAUAGUUCAUAAAUAUCAUGUAUUAGUAUUACAGUGAAAGUAUUAGUAGAAGUGUAAAUCACUUUGAGGUCUCAGGAGUAAGCUGCUUUAUCUGAGGUUUUAGUGGUUAGAAAUUAGUUUGUUUUUUGAGUUGCUAUAUACGGAAGUACAUACUCUGUUGCUGUUAACUACUGUUUAUACACUGGAAACAAUGACUAAGAAUGAAUUGCCAGGGAUAUAUUACUUCUUUUAAAGAUUUGUUUUAAAAGCACUCUUUACUAUAAAUUCUCUGAGCAGUUUGUCUCAAAUUAAAAGAAAAAAUUAACUGUUUGAUCUCCCGUAUUAGACAGUGAAUUUCUUGAGGGAAAGAACCGUGAGUAAUUUACUAAUUUUCUGUCACUAAACCUGGUACGAAACAGCUAUUCAGUAAGUGUUUAUAGAGUAUCCUGUGUAAAAAUUUAGUAAAAUUUUAUUAAAAUUUGUUUUAAAAAAAGGAUACUGAGUUUAUUAAUUUAACUACACGUAUAGCAUGUGAUAUGGACUGAUGUUAUUGAAGAUUAUACAACCAUUAGAAAAAGAAUGAAUGGCAUCUAUCGCUAUUGACCUGGAAGGAUGAUCAGAAUUUACUAAGGGAAAAGAGCAAAUUUUCAGAGUAAUGAAUAUUCAUGAAUAAAUAUGUCGUGUAUGUUGUAUGAACAUGAAAACAGCUAUAGAAAAAUACACACCAUGUUCUUCACGAUGGUCAUCUCACAGGGUUGAGAACAAAAAGGACUCAGGAAAGAUUGCUAAUUUUUUAAAACAUUUUUUAUUGUGUCACUAGUUAUAAAGAACAUCUAUUAUGAAAGUAAGUUUGGAAAAUGAAUAUUUAAAAUUAUUUUUUAAAUUACUGUCUUUUACUUUUUGGAAAAGCAGCCCAAGAAAAAUAAUCACCAUACAGAAGUUUUAAUUUCAUUGUAUUGCCCGAACUUCCAUAACACAGAAUAAAGUACAUGCUUUAAAUAGAUGAUUCAUUUAUUCAAUAGGUAUUUCCUGAGCUCUAUGAUGGCACUAGUUCUUGUGAAAAAGUAUGAUGUGUAUAUAUGUGUGUGUAUAAAGCUGAGCCCUUUCAUGAUGCAGCUUCUUUCAUAGGAUCACAUAUGAAGAAGUUAUAGUUGAGCAAGCAAAAGUUAAAGGUAAUUUGAUUCUUUACUGUAGUCUCUCUGCAUAUAUAACCUACAAAUGCACAAGAAAACUUCUCAAGGAAUUUUUUUUUUUUGCCACCUCUCUCAUCCACAAUGUAUCUCCCCAUUAUUGCUACCCCCAGUAUUUCUCUUACCUUUUCCUCAUGCUCCUCUUCAAGAGAUCUCACUAACCCUCCUUGGCCCAGGUCAAUUAAUUUUUCUGCUCACUUCCAAACUCCUUGCUGGAUCUGUCUUAUUCUUCUCUUUCUGUUGUAAAUCUCACUAGACUUUCUGGCUUAUAUUUCUCUCACUUACUGAGAAAAAAAAAAAUCUAUGCAAGAUAAGGUUUCAGGACUAUAUUCCCAACAGAAAAUUCACAGGAGUUUAAAUAAUCAAAGGGGCAGACCCAGAAGCCUUAGUUUAAAAACAAGCAUCAAAGUUCCCCUUUAGAAUGUACUUGAAUAGACUUGAGCCAAUGAGACGGGCGGAACAUCUGAAUUGGAAUCAGGCAAGAGAGGACUGUACAGUCUGAAGUACUAUAUUUCUGACUCAGUACAUUCUAGAUCCCACCACAGGGUAGUCCUGACAAUGACCUGACCUUUAUAGAUAGAAGACAGAGGCACCCGGAGCUAAAUUUACAACACGGGAAAGAUGUGGGAUGAUGACCACAAGUAAUGAUAAAUAGAUACACUUUACUUCAUGUCAUAGGCAGUUUGAUAGAGGCUGUAAGAAAAAGGAGGGAGACAGAAGGAUGGAGGGAGGAGAAGAGAGAAGGAUGGAAGGAGGGGGAGGAGAGAAAGACAGACAGACAGACAGACCGACGAUCCCUCUCAAAUAAAAAAGCAGAAGGGGUGGAAGAGUGGAAGAAGGUGGUUGGUUAGGGGAUUAGGAAGCAGGAAGAAAAAAACAAAAUGUAUUUUGACACCCAGCCCUUUCUUUACAUCUGCACAAGUGUUCCCUGGUCCCUUAUGGGCCCUACCCUGGGUGGGCUGGGUCUGCUUGGCACUCCCAGCUGGCCAGCUGUCCUCUCCAUUUAGAGACUGCUUACUCAUAGUGAACCAUUUACAGUUGUGGGGAAGUCUCUUCAGAAUAUGCUAACAAUUAUGUUUGUUGUUCUUAACUCCAGGGGGCUGAGGAAGUCAAUAAGCAGCUGAUCACGGCAAGUUUACCCAAAGAUAUAGGUCGCCUACUCUGUCGUACAUCUUCAGCUUAGGGGAUUUAUGCAGAAAAGAACAUGAAUUCUUGUUUAUGUUAUAUGACUCCUAACCUGGGCCCCAGCAGUCUGAUGAGAACAGUAACUCUAGCUAGAAAGAUAUCUAAAAUGGAGAUGUGGGUAGAAAAACAAAUAAUGUUUAUAAAGAGAUUUUAAUGAGAUAAGAAAAUGCUUAUAUAAUGUUAAGAAAAAAAGCAAGAUGCAAAACAUGUAAAAUAUUAAAUGUUCUUUUCUAGGUGGUUAUUGUGCAUUUCUGUUCCGUUCUUUUCAUUUUCCAAAAUGUCAGGAAAGAGAAAGGAAAAGGGCUCUUGGGAUAUCCUUCCUUUUUUGUUUUUUUGUUUGUUUGUUUUUGAUCAAUGGAUUAAUUUUAAUGGUGGCAUCUCUUAUAAGAAAGAGAUUUCACCUCAAGUUUGAGUGAUAUGAUAUUCUUUGCUGAGAAUUUUUGUUCUUUGUAGACUGCUAGUAUGGUGUCAUGUUCUGGUAAUUUUUAAUGCUCAAUGCCCUUCAGCUCUGGUGGAGUGAUUGGGAGAAGAAGGUUAUGAGGUAGAUGGUUUAUUAUCUAAUUACUGAUGAUGGAUUAGUAUAGCUCAAACAGAACUUUUGUCACUUCAAGUAUGAAUAGCCAAGAGAAGCAAGGUAGGUCAAUGGAUAUAUUCAAACCAUGCGUUUGUAUAUAAGAAAAAUGUUUACUUAGAUGAUGAAUUACUUCACAUUCCACUUAUAAAGCUCAGUUAGCACAAACAUUUAAAUGGAACAAAAACUACAUUGGCUUAAGAAACUGGAUAUUUCCAAAACUCAGUAAUCUCCUGUUCCUCUAAAUGUUUACCUAUCUACCUUAUUCUCACCUUAUGACUUCUCAGAACAUUUUCAUGGCUUAUGUUCUAGUUUAGGUCCUGCAGCUCUUCAGAAUCCAGACAUAAUUGUCCUUACAACUGACGUCUCUUCUGCUUUUAACUAAAAGCCUACUUAAUUUCUCCCAGCCUGAGUGGUUCUUCCGCCAUUUACAAUUCUCAGUGUCUCUUCCCCUCAUCUCUUUGUGCUCCAGGUCCUAACUGCCUGUUACAGUUACUUUCACUUGCUUGCUCUUAGCUCCCCCUGACUCAGGAUCUCUUUCUCUAGCUCAGAGGUUCCGAAUCCUGGCUGCACAUUAGAAUCACCUUUAAAGUUUUAAAAAAAUGCCAAUGCAUUUGGCCCACCCUAAAUAUUCUCUUUUAAGCGGUCAGGGGUGGAGUUUAGCUGCAUGCUAGACUCUUACAGGAACCAAACUCUUCCUUCAUCUCAAAAUUUUUAAUUCAGUUAAGUUUAACAAGCUGCUUCACACUGGGAAACUAUUUUUCUGGAUAAAGACUACUUUCCUAGCCAGACAAGAAUAAAGCUUUAACAUUAUGCAUAAUCCAGCUCCACCUAUGUAUCAUCACACAGACAUGCAUGUGACACACACAAACACACACUAAGUUAAUGACCAAAGAUGAACAACUAUUUAAUAAACAUAGAAUUGCUAUUACCAUAGUAAUUAAUUAGAAACUAAGGAUAGCUGACCAAGUUUUAAAAGUCCUCUUUAAACUUGACUAUUGUAAAUAAGAUGUCCUGCCUUGCUAAAGGGUAUCAGAAUAUGCCUUGAGUCUGAUUUGUGGGGGGAAGAAAUGGUGGCUGACAACAAUGUCAAAAGGAUGUACAAUUGGUAGUCAAAAGGUGGAAACAAUUGAUGGGUGAAUGGAUAGACAAAAUCUAUAUACAUACAAUGGAAUAUUAUUCAGCCUUAAAAAGGAAAGAAAUUCUGACACAUGCUACAACAUGGAUGAACCUUGAAAAUAUUAUGCUAAGUGAAAUAAACUAAACACAAAAGGACAAAUAUCGUUUGAUUCCAUUUCUAUGAAGUGCCUGGAAUAGUCAAAUUCAUAGAGACAGAAAGUAGACUAGAGGUUGCCCGGGGCUUGGAGGAGGGGAGAGUGGGGAGUUAUUGGUUAAUGGGUACAGAGUUUCAGUUUGGGAAGAUUAAAAAGUUCUAGAGAUGGAUGGUGGUGAUGGUUGCAAAACAAUGUGGAUGUAUUUAAUGUCACUGACUGUACACUUAAAAAUGCUUAAAAUGGUAAAUUUUAUGUUAUGUAUAUUUUACCACAAAAAAAGGGAAUGUACAUUUGAAAACUUUCAAGGCAUUUCAGUGAAAAUGGAUUGCAGUUCCAGAGUUCAGAGGCACAACUGAACUGAGUAAUCUAUUCACAGAAUCAUUAAGGCUUGAUGAAAUGCAAUAAUUUAUUAGUUUAAGUAAUAGGCUUUACUUUGCUGUUGAGGUCCGUCAUGCUUAUGAAAUUUAAGCACUGGUAUUAUCCUUGAUCCACAAGCAGUAAUGGAUUGUAAUAAACUACAGAGAGCAAUUUUUAAAUAAACAGGAUUAUUGUUAAGUGCUUAUAGCUAUAUUAGAAUCCUUGUUUUGGUCAGCUGCUAGCAGAGGCAGAACUGCACAUUUCUCUUUCACCAAGAAUACUAUCUUUUACCAAAUUAUCUUCUUGGUAAGAGAAGCCAUGGCCUUGAAUGAGUCCAUACUUCUCAAUAAUUCAAUAUGUAAGCUAGUUGCUUCCUUUUUUUUUUUUCCUGAAAAUGUUUAACAUUUUUAUUGACAUUUAUAAAUUUCUUGGUUUAUAGUUCUAUAAAUUUUAACAUGAAUAGAUUUGUGUAACAGCCACUGUCACUCUCCAAACACAGAGUGGUUCCAUCACCCCAAAGAACUCCUUUUUGCUAUCCCUUUAUCCCUCCCCCCCCCCCCACCAACCCCUAGCAACCACUGAUCUCUUCUUUAUCACUAUAGUUUUGUCUUUUUGAGAACUGUCAUUUAAAUGGACUCAUAUAUUACAUAAUCUUUUGAGGCUGACUUCUUUCAUCCAGCAUUAUGUAUUUAAGGCUCAUCCAUGUUGUUGCACGUAUCAGUGGUUUGUUUCUUUUUAUUGCUGAAUAGUAUUCCUUUGUAUGGAUGUACCACAGGCUGUUUAUCCGUUCACCCAUUGGAAGACAUGUAGAUUUUUUUUUUCCAGUUUGAGGCAAUUAUGAAUAGAACUGCUAUAAGCAUUUGGGCACGGGAAUUUGUGUGAAUGUAAGUUUUUAUUCUCUAGGAUAAAGACCCAGGAGUCAGAUUGCUAGGUCAGAUGCUAUAUGUAUGUUUAAUUUUAUAAGAAGCUGCCAAACUGUUUUGCUGAGAAACUAUACCAUUUUGCAUGCCCAACAGAAAUGUAUAAGAGUUCCAGUUGCUCCAGAUCCUUGUCAACAUUUGCUAUUAUUAAUAUUUUUUAUUUUAGUCCUUGUAAUAGGUGUGUAGUGGAAACACUUUUUCUCUUUCAACUACAUUUUUUAAAGCUAUUUAAUAUUUAUUUAAGAAGCUACAUUUAUUUAAUAAACUAUUAUUUAAUAAACUACAUUUAUUAAAGCUGUUUUUUAAAGCUAGACAAUAAUGUGAUUCUGAGACCAUCUUUCCUGGUUCCUAUUUUUAGAUAUAUUCUAUUUCUG